rnacentral:rRNA from 1 species
GACGAACGCUGGCGGCGUGCCUAAUACAUGCAAGUCGAGCGGACGAAUCGAAAGCUUGCUUUUGAUUCGUUAGCGGCGGACGGGUGAGUAACACGUGGGCAACCUGCCCUGUAGACGGGGAUAACACCGAGAAAUCGGUGCUAAUACCGGAUAACACGAAAUGUCGCAUGACGUUUCGUUGAAAGACGGCGCAAUCUGCCGCUACAGGAUGGGCCCGCGGCGCAUUAGCUAGUUGGUGAGGUAACGGCUCACCAAGGCGACGAUACGUAGCCGACCUGAGAGGGUGAUCGGCCACACUGGGACUGAGACACGGCCCAGACUCCUACGGGAGGCAGCAGUAGGGAAUCUUCCGCAAUGGACGAAAGUCUGACGGAGCAACGCCGCGUGAGCGAAGAAGGCCUUCGGGUCGUAAAGCUCUGUUGUUAGGGAAGAACAAGUAACGCAGUAACUGGCGUUACCGUGACGGUACCUAACGAGAAAGCCACGGCUAACUACGUG